UUUGGAAUGGCUCAGAGGUAGAGUGCUUGCCUAGCAUGCAUGAGGUCCUGGGUUUGAUCUCCAGCACUACAC
rnacentral:tRNA from 1 species